CCAAAUUCGCCUCGAGUACUUGCCGUGAGUUGCUGCAAUUUAGAUGGUGAACGGCGGAGGGAGCGUUGAAGGCGUUGGGUUGUUGAGGACGGUGAAUCGAUGGUGAGUUCGUUGCCGUAAAACGGAUCGCGGCGAAAAACAAAGGGUGGUUGAGCGGUUGAGGCGUCGCGAUGUGAACGGCAACUCUCGCCGGUGUCGCCUUGGUUGAGGGAUGAUGUGGUGGCGUUUGAAGGAAG
rnacentral:lncRNA from 1 species